rnacentral:rRNA from 1 species
GACGAACGCUGGCGGCGUGCCUAAUACAUGCAAGUAGAACGCACAGUUUAUACCGUAGCUUGCUACACCAUAGACUGUGAGUUGCGAACGGGUGAGUAACGCGUAGGUAACCUGCCUGGUAGCGGGGGAUAACUAUUGGAAACGAUAGCUAAUACCGCAUAAUAUUAAUUAUUGCAUGAUAAUUAAUUGAAAGGUGCAAUUGCACCACUACCAGAUGGACCUGCGUUGUAUUAGCUAGUAGGUGAGGUAACGGCUCACCUAGGCGACGAUACAUAGCCGACCUGAGAGGGUGAUCGGCCACACUGGGACUGAGACACGGCCCAGACUCCUACGGGAGGCAGCAGUAGGGAAUCUUCGGCAAUAGACGAAAGUCUGACCGAGCAACUCCGCGUGAGUGAAGAAGGUUUUCGGAUCGUAAAGCUCUGUUGUAAGAGAAGAACGGGUGUGAGAGUGGAAAGUUCACACUGUGACGGUAUCUUACCAGAAAGGGACGGCUAACUACGUG